AGGAAUAUUGGUCAAUGGACGAGAGUCUGAACCAGCCAAGUAGCGUGAAGGAUGACUGCCCUAUGGGUUGUAAACUUCUUUUAUAUGGGAAUAAAACAGGGUAUGCAUACCCUCUUGUAUGUACCAUAUGAAUAAGGAUCGGCUAACUCCGUGCCAGCCGCCGCGGUAAUACGGAGGAUCCGAGCGUUAUCCGGAUUUAUUGGGUUUAAAGGGUGCGUAGGCGGCAGAUUAAGUUAGAGGUGAAAUUCCGAGGCUCAACCUUGGCACUGCCUCUGAUACUGGUUUGCUAGCGAGUAGAUGCUGUAGGCGGAAUGUGUGGUGUAGCGGUGAAAUGCAUAGAGAUCACACAGAACACCGAUUGCGAAGGCAUCUCACGAAUCCGCGAUUGACGCUGAUGCACGAAAGCGUGGGUAUCAAACAG
rnacentral:rRNA from 1 species